rnacentral:rRNA from 1 species
AACGAACGCUGGCGGCAGGCUUAACACAUGCAAGUCGAACGCGCCCUUCGGGGUGAGUGGCAGACGGGUGAGUAACGCGUGGGAACAUGCCUUUCGGACUGGAAUAACUGGGGGAAACUUCAGCUAAGACCGGAUACGCCCUUAGGGGGAAUGACUUAUCGCCGAAAGAUUGGCCCGCGUCCGAUUAGCUAGUUGGUGUUGGUAAUGGCGCACCAAGGCGACGAUCGGUAGCUGGUCUGAGAGGAUGGCCAGCCACAUUGGGACUGAGACACGGCCCAAACUCCUACGGGAGGCAGCAGUGGGGAAUAUUGGACAAUGGGCGCAAGCCUGAUCCAGCCAUGCCGCGUGAGUGAUGACGGCCUUAGGGUUGUAAAGCUCUUUCGCACGUGACGAUAAUGACGGUAACGUGAGAAGAAGCCCCGGCUAACUUCGUGCCAGCCGCCGCCGUAA